GGUUGCGAUCAUACCAGCACUAAUGCACCGGAUCCCAUCAGAACUCCGCAGUUAAGCGUUCUUGGGCGAGAGUAGUACUAGGAUGGGUGACCCCCUGGGAAGUCCUCGUGUUGCAACCC
rnacentral:rRNA from 1 species